AAGCGUGCGCAGGCGGUUUCGUAAGACAGACGUGAAAUCCCCGGGCUCAACCUGGGAACUGCGUUUGUGACUGCGAGGCUAGAGUACGGCAGAGGGGGGUAGAAUUCCACGUGUAGCAGUGAAAUGCGUAGAGAUGUGGAGGAAUACCGAUGGCGAAGGCAGCCCCCUGGGUUAGUACUGACGCUCAUGCACGAAAGCGUGGGGAGCAAACAGGAUUAGAUACCCUGGUAGUCCACGCCCUAAACGAUGUCGACUAGGUGUUGGAAGGGUUAAACCUUUUAGUACCGCAGCUAACGCGUGAAGUUGACCGCCUGGGGAGUACGGCCGCAAGGUUAAAACUCAAAGGAAUUGACGGGGACCCGCACAAGCGGUGGAUGAUGUGGAUUAAUUCGAUGCAACGCGAAAAACCUUACCUACCCUUGACAUGCCAGGAACUUUCCAGAGAUGGAUUGGUGCCCGAAAGGGAGCCUGGACACAGGUGCUGCAUGGCUGUCGUCAGCUCGUGUCGUGAGAUGUUGGGUUAAGUCCCGCAACGAGCGCAACCCUUGUCAUUAAUUGCCAUCAUUCAGUUGGGCACUUUAAUGAGACUGCCGGUGACAAACCGGAGGAAGGUGGGGAUGACGUCAAGUCCUCAUGGCCCUUAUGGGUAGGGCUUCACACGUCAUACAAUGGUCGGUACAGAGGGUUGCCAAGCCGCGAGGUGGAGCCAAUCCCAGAAAGCCGAUCGUAGUCCGGAUCGCAGUCUGCAACUCGACUGCGUGAAGUCGGAAUCGCUAGUAAUCGCGGAUCAGCAUGUCGCGGUGAAUACGUUCCCGGGUCUUGUACACACCGCCCGUCACACCAUGGGAGUGGGUUCUACCAGAAGUAGUUAGCCUAACCGUAAGGAGGGCGAUUACCACGGUAGGAUUCAUGACUGGGGUGAAGUCGUAACAAGGUAU
rnacentral:rRNA from 1 species